rnacentral:rRNA from 1 species
GAUUGGAGUCUGCAACCCGACUCCAUGAAGCUGGAUUCGCUAGUAAUCGCGCAUCAGCCACGGCGCGGUGAAUACGUUCCCGGGCCUUGUACACACCGCCCGUCAAGCCAUGGAAGCCGGGGGGUGCCUGAAGUGCGCUGCCGCAAGGAGCGUCCUAGGGUAAAACCGGUGACUGGGGCUAAGUCGUAACAAGGUAAC